CACCAAUAUCAUUUAUUCAAUUCAGUUUUCCAUGUACUUUUAAUAUUUGCAAAAAAUAUUCAAAACCCAAAACUUCAAAUCACUCCACUCUGUGACCGCGUCUUUCAUUAACUACGGCAAGGAGUGGUUCUCGCUGGAAUACUCUUCAGGCUUCUUUCUUCUUCAUACCUCAAUCUUACUCUCAAUCUUUGAUCUUUUUUUCAACCUUUUGUUACUCACUAUGUUCAAAUCGGAACCCCAAUUCUCCUCCAGAUUUAGAAUUACAAAGCUGGAUUCUUUGACGCUCUUUUUCUAGGUUGUUAUUGUACCGUUUUGCACAACUUUUCUCCAUUUUUUAUUCUGGGUGCUCAUGGGGUUAUUGGAAUUGGAUUUAUUUGAUGGCGUUUUGUGAUUAUAUAGGGAACUGCAUAAAAGUGUGUAGGAGGUGGUUUCAGCACCGAGACCGGCUAACUUCUACAAAAUAUUGGAUUCUAUUCCUGGUCUAAUUGAAUUUUAUUCAUUCCUGGUCUAAUAGAAUUUUAUUCAAUCUUUGUUUUAUUAUCGUAAAUUUGUGAAUAAUUUGUAUCUCUGAUUUGCUUGAUUACUGAAAUAAAUCUGCAGGCAAGAGAUAGCUCUAUUGGAUAAUGAAAUAUCCUUCAACGAGGCCAUGAUUGAAGAAAGAGAUCAGGGUCUUAGAGAGAUAGAAUAGCAAAUUGGAGAAGCAAAUGAAAUAUUCAAGGAUCUUGCCGUUUUGGUUCAUGAUCAAGGGAUUGUUAUUGAUACUUCUGCUGGUGCAACAGCUCAAGGUAAUGUCCAGCUAGCCAAAGCUUCCAAAAGUGUGAAACCCAAAAAUAAAUGGACUUACAGUGUGAAGUGUGUUUGUUUAGACCAAAAGAAAUGUGUUUAAAGAGAGUAUUGCGACAUUUUCAAGUCCAGUAGCCAACAAUUUGGUGUGUUAAGUGAGCAUUAGGAAGUGGAAGUUGAAAUAAAUGACUUUAUGUGAAUCAAUUUUAGGAAAAAUUAUCAUGUAUUCUUAUAUAGAUUUGUAAUAUAGAUUUUAUAUAACUUUCACAUAUUUGUAUUGCUAUU